rnacentral:rRNA from 2 species
UGGGGAAUAUUGCACAAUGGAGGGAACUCUGAUGCAGCGACGCCGCGUGAACGAAGAAGGCUUUCGAGUCGUAAAGUUCUUUUAUAUGGGAAGAUAAUGACGGUACCAUAAGAAAAAGCCCCGGCUAACUACGUGCCAGCAGCCGCGGUAAUACGUAGGGGGCUAGCGUUGUCCGGAAUCACUGGGCGUAAAGGGUUCGCAGGCGGAAAUGCAAGUCAGGUGUAAAAGGCAGUAGCUUAACUACUGUAAGCAUUUGAAACUGCAUAUCUUGAGAAGAGUAGAGGUAAGUUGAAUUUUUAGUGUAGCGGUGAAAUGCGUAGAUAUUAAAAAGAAUACCGGUGGCGAAGGCGACUUACUGGGCUCAUUCUGACGCUGAGGAACGAAAGCGUGGGUAGCAAACAGG